AGCUUCGCUCCCUUGGCCGCUGCAUCGAGGAAAUCGCCGAAAACUGCCGGCGGCGUGAACCUCUUGGGUGGCAGCGGCCCCUUCCAACCUUUAAGUCGCACCGGCUGCCGCGGAAGCCGCCUCCCCGGCGGCGAGCUAGAGAGAGCCCGACGAAACUUCGCAGCAGCACGCGGGGGAGACGACGAGCGUGCCCGCGGCACAGCCUUCGCCUCCGUCGAAGCAUUCCUCCCCCAGGACCUGGUUGCCGCCGCCGGGUAGCCGAUCUUCGCCCAAAAGUCCUCCAAGAGCGCUUCACGAUCUAGAUCCUUGUCGAUCGGCAGCACCUCCGGAUCAUCUUCAAGACCAGCCCACGCCACCUCCUCCGCCACCGAACAUCCAUCCUCCACAUCCAGCUCGACGAGCGGAUCGAAACGGCCUUGUGACGGAGUAGGGAACACCGUCGGAGGGAAAGGAGAACCAGGCCGCCGUCGAACGAGGCGUGCCGGAGUCCGCCAGGGCUCCUCCGUCCUGCCCGACGGCUUAGCCGCCGCCGCGGAAGCCGCACAGGCCAUCGCCGCCUAGCCUUGAAGGGGGCGCAUGCGUGGCUCGCCGGCCUGCGAAGACAGUACCGAUGGGAUGGCCACGAUGGAGUGCCUCGCCCGCAUCUUGCCGGCCGGGAAGCUUUGGAUCGGCGGCCUCACCCGCAUCUUGCCGGCCGGGGAAGGUUGUGGUUGGCGGCGGAGCUCCGUACCGGCAACGGUGCCAUUGUCUGCGGCUCCUCUCUCCCACGGAUCUCACAAAAAGAUUUUGCCCUGCCGCGCCUGCAUAUUCGCUGCCACCGGCGGCUGCUGAUUUACCAGACAGACCAGAAAAACAACAAUCUCCAGCUGCAACAGAUGCCACCGGUUGAUCAUUUAAUAAGUCAUGGCGCCACGCAUCAGCGAGUAUUUUCGUCCUAGAGUUGAUUUAAUAGAAAGUAGUACAGAUUUUAUCCAACGAUGGUUUCACAUAGCCGGUCGCAGGAUUUUGUAAGAGCUAAUUGCUAAUUUGCUCCUGAGUACACCUCUUCAGAGCAACUUAUUGGAAAGCUAGCUAGCCUGGUAGGAGUUGGCUCUACGAGGCUCUUUUCCAUCUAACCCCUGUGCUGAUUUGAUAUGGUAAAGGUACAACCCAAGGUGCAACACAGGGAAACAAAUACACAAUAAUGAUGGUCAUGGAUUUCCUGUGUAAGAGAGCACCAUGGUACACGUGUAUAUAAAGGAAAAUCAAGUUAGUAUGUUCAGAUUCAUUAUGCAAGAAGGAUCAGUCAAUAAGUUUCAAUGUUACUGGAAUGAAGUAUGUAUUUCUUUAAUUAUACUUUUUGAGAAAUUAUUAUUUAUAUUUG